AAUUUUGUAGUUUAAUUAGAAUAACAAAUUGCAAAUUUGUAGGUGAAAUUUUUCCAAAAUUU
rnacentral:tRNA from 1 species